CGGAACGAUUCCUUCCAGGAAGAAAGUAUUUAUUAUUUUUAAAAGGUUUACAAUGAAGGAAUAGGGUACGCCAUCUUCCCCAGGAGUUGAGUCUUUUAGGCCACUUAGAGCACAUUGGAGCUCUGAGAAAGAGAAGGGGGCAUCCAUGUCAUCAAAAGUGGAUGCUGGCGACGAAGUCAGAAAACUGUCCACUCCUGGGACAAAUGGAGGGGCAAGUUUGUCAGCAAAAUCAUUAAGCCAUACACUGGGGUUAUUG
rnacentral:misc_RNA from 1 species